rnacentral:sRNA from 1 species
UGAAAAAAGGGGUUGUAGGGGAUACAAUCCCCUACCUGCAUUCAGGAAGGUGCUCAGGCUGCAAAGCAGCCGUCGAAGGAAAC